GACGAACGCUGGCGGCGUGCCUAAUACAUGCAAGUAGAACGCACAGUCUAUACCGUAGCUUGCUACACCAUAGACUGUGAGUUGCGAACGGGUGAUUAACGCGUAGGUAAUCUGCCUGGUAGCGGGGGAUAACUAUUGGAAACGAUAGCUAAUACCGCAUAAUAUUAAUUAUUGCAUGAUAAUUAAUUGAAAGGUGCAAUUGCACCACUACCAGCUGGUCCUGCGUGGUAUUAGCUAGUAGGUGAGGUAACGGCUCACCUAGGCGGCGAUACAUAGCCGACCUGAGGGGGUGGUCGGCCAAACUGGGACUGGGACACGGCCCAGACUCCUACGGGAAGGAGCAGUAGGGAAACAUGGGCAAUGGGCGGAAAGCUUAACGAGCAACGCCGCGGGAGUGAAGAAAGGUUUCGGAUCGGAAAGGUCUGUUGUAAGGGAAGAAAGGGUGUGAGAGUGGAAAGUUCACAUUGUGACGGUAUCUAACCAGAAAGGAACGGCUAACUACGUG
rnacentral:rRNA from 1 species